rnacentral:rRNA from 1 species
GGCGAACGGGUGAGUAACACGUGGGUAAUCUGCCCUGCACUCUGGGAUAAGCCUGGGAAACUGGGUCUAAUACUGGAUAUGACCUUUCUCCUCAUGGGGUUUGGUGGAAAGUUUUUCGGUGUAGGAUGAGCCCGCGGCCUAUCAGCUUGUUGGCGGGGUGAUGGCCUACCAAGGCGACGACGGGUAGCCGGCCUGAGAGGGUGAUCGGCCACAUUGGGACUGAGAUACGGCCCAG